AUUGAACGCUGGCGGCAUGCCUUACACAUGCAAGUCGAACGGCAGCACGGGGCAACCUGGUGGCGAGUGGCGAACGGGUGAGUAAUGCAUCGGAACGUACCUUUCAGUGGGGGAUAACGUAGCGAAAGUUACGCUAAUACCGCAUAUUCUGUGAGCAGGAAAGCAGGGGAUCGCGAGACCUUGCGCUGAUUGAGCGGCCGAUGUCAGAUUAGCUAGUUGGUGAGGUAAAGGCUCACCAAGGCGACGAUCUGUAGCGGGUCUGAGAGGAUGAUCCGCCACACUGGAACUGAGACACGGUCCAGACUCCUACGGGAGGCAGCAGUGGGGAAUUUUGGACAAUGGGGGCAACCCUGAUCCAGCCAUGCCGCGUGAGUGAAGAAGGCCUUCGGGUUGUAAAGCUCUUUCGGCCGGGAAGAAAUCGCACGGGCUAAUACCCUGUGUGGAUGACGGUACCGGGAUAAGAAGCACCGGCUAACUACGUGCCAGCCGCCGCGGUAAGAC
rnacentral:rRNA from 1 species